AUGUACAUUCCUACAACAUAGUGUUAAUGCAUCAGAUCCCAUUAGAACUCUAUAGUUAAGCACUCUCGUGAUAGAGUAGUAUUGGGAUCGGUGACUUGUCGGGAAGUCCUAGUAUUUUACAUG
rfam:Picea glauca, whole genome shotgun sequence.